UAGGCGAACUGGAAGCUUGGCUGCCGCUGCAGGCCUCGUCGGGCUUCUCCAAUACCUUGGCGAUGACGGAGGCGGGGACGGAGUCAGCGUAGACGGUGUGGCAAAGAGAUCACACAGGACACAGAAAUCGCAGAGGCCCUCAACUCGUCGUGACAAUCCAACCUUUAACUGGCUAAAAAAGCUGAAUUCCCCUCUCUGUUCCAGGCAACAUCACAGCAUAACAGACUCUGGCCGCCACUGUAACACUGACUGGAUCCUCAGAGCUGGUGCUAAUCUGAGCAGUGAGGAACAGCUGAAUCUGACCAUGCCCCGGGAGAAAACCAAAGAAGCUAAUGAGUUGAUUCUUAGAGUUGUAGCAAACAACAAAUGCAGAGUUCCAGAUACUCUAUUGGAGGUGACUGAGGUGAGGAAAAUACAGAUACUCUACUGGAGGUGACUGAGGUGAGGAAAAUACAGAUACUCUACUGGAGGUGACUGAGGUGAGGAAAAUACAGAUACUCUACUGGAGGUGACUGAGGUGAGGAAAAUACAGAUACUCUACUGGAGGUGACUGAGGUGAGGAAAAUACAGAUACUCUACUGGAGGUGAGGAAAAUACAGAUACUCUACUGGAGGCGACUGAGGUGAGGAAAAUACAGAUACUCUACUGGAGGUGACUGAGGUGAGGAAAAUACAGAUACUCUACUGGAGGUGACUGAGGUGAGGAAAAUACAGAUACUCUACUGGAGGUGACUGAGGUGAGGAAAAUACAGAUACUCUACUGGAGGUGAGGAAAAUACAGAUACUCUACUGGAGGUGACUGAGGUGAGGAAAAUACAGAUACUCUACUGGAGGUGACUGAGGUGAGGAAAAUACAGAUACUCUACUGGAGGUGACUGAGGUGAUGAAAAUACAGAUACUCUACUGGAGGUGACUGAGGUGAGGAAAAUACAGAUACUCUACUGGAGGUGACUGAGGUGAGGAAAAUACAGAUACUCUACUGGAGGUGAGGAAAAUACAGAUACUCUACUGGAGGCGACUGAGGUGAGGAAAAUACAGAUACUCUACUGGAGGUGACUGAGGUGAGGAAAAUACAGAUAAUCUACUGGAGGUGAGGAAAAUACAGAUACUCUACUGGAGGUGACUGAGGUGAGGAAAAUACAGAUACUCUACUGGAGGUGACUGAGGUGAGGAAAAUACAUAAAUGAGGCAUAAAGGUUCUAUUUGCUUCACCUGUGCUAAGAAAAUAUUUCCUUAUUUUAUAAUUUGCAUGGUUUGCAUUUAUCUUUGGCUACUUCUGCCUCUCUGUAAAUGUUGGUAAAUUUGGCUUGGACAUCUUUCUGGUACAGCUGAUGUUCAGUGCUCUAUCUAUUGGCCAUGUACCACUGGUGCAUCCCUACAGCAGUGUUCAGCAGCCUGUCAUUGACUGAUAGGGCUCUGGUCUUCCUGCUUCCUGAGAUCUGAGAACAGAACCACCUGACUACUGAUGAGGCUGAAGGGAAAAGGAAUGUGAACAUCAUGAAGACAGGAAUCUGAAUAUGAAAGUGGAUCACAGUAAUGGUGGAAGAUUAUCCAAACUGUACUGUAGAUGGUUUUGUUUUUUAAAUCAGGUUUUUCCCUGGAACAUUCCAGUCUAAUCAUGUAUAACAAACAAUAACUUUUUUUAGUGGAACCGUCUCACAUUGUAGACUAAAUAUUGUUCUGUUGAGCUAUAUACCUAAAAGGUUCCAGGAAGAACCAUUUUGGAUCCAGGUAGAACCCCUUUGGGUUCAAUGUAGAACCAUUCCACAGAGGGUUCUACCUGUAACCAAAAAGGGUGGUAUGGGUACAGCCGAAGAACGUUUUCGGAACCCUUUUUUUAACCUUCCUGCUGUGUUCCGGUCGAAUUGAACCUUUUUAGAAGUUUUCUCUCUGAAAAAUGUAGUUCAUUUAAUCUGAUUGUCAUAUAAGGUUACAUGACUUUGUCCACACAGGCCAUCUGAACACACAAAAUACAUUUUGAUUAUUUUCA